UGAGGAAUAUUGGUCAAUGGACGCAAGUCUGAACCAGCCAAGUAGCGUGCAGGAUGACGGCCCUAUGGGUUGUAAACUGCUUUUAUAUGGGGUUAAAGUGGGGAACAUGUUCCCUUUUGCAGGUACCAUAUGAAUAAGGACCGGCUAAUUCCGUGCCAGCAGCCGCGGUAAUACGGAAGGUUCGGGCGUUAUCCGGAUUUAUUGGGGUUAAAGGGAUCGUAGGCCGUUUGGUAAGCGUGUUGUGAAAUGUAGGGGCUCAACUUCUAGAUUGCAGCGCGAACUGCAAGACUUGAGUGCGCACAACGUAGGCGGAAUUCAUGGUGUAGCGGUGAAAUGCUUAGAUAUCAUGAAGAACUCCGAUUGCGAAGGCAGCUUACGGGAGCGCAACUGACGCUGAAGCUCGAAGGGGCGGGUAUCGAACAGG
rnacentral:rRNA from 1 species